rnacentral:rRNA from 1 species
ACGGGAUUCUGCAAUUCACACCAAGUAUCGCAUUUCGCUACGUUCUUCAUCGAUGCGAGAGCCGAGAUAUCCGUUGCCGAGAGUCGUUUAAUGUUAUAUACGACUUGGUGCCACGUCCACGACCGGCGAACCGGUCGGAGAAGGGCACGCUUGUAUUCAUGUUCCU